CCGGUGAGGAGUGGGUCACACACCGCCGCAGAGGAGCUGUCAGUGAGACAGGUGGAGAUUCUCAGUCUCCCCCAGUGAGUCCCAGCGGAAGGACACGGUGGCGGGGACACACAAUUUCUUCGUCUUAUUAUCGGUUCAUCGUGUCUUUGAGAGAAUUAUUUGACAAGCCCGACCAUGACUUCGGUUUGGAAACGGCUUCAGCGGGUUGGGAAGAAAGCGUCCAAGUUCCAGUUUGCUGCCUCAUUUCAAGAACUGACUAUAGAAUGUACAAAGAAAUGGCAACCAGACAAACUGAGAGUGGUGUGGAUCAGGAGAAACAGACGUCACAGCACAAAGCUCCACAGCUGGCAGCCAGGGAUCAAAAACCCCUACAGAGGCCUGGUGCUUUGGCAGGUUCCAGAGAGCUUAGACAUCACUGUCACACUCUUCAAGGAACCCGCUGCAGAGGAGUUUGAAGACAAGGAGUGGACUUUUGUCAUUGAAAAUGAGACGAAAGGCCAUAAGAAGGUGUUGGCAUCAGCAGACGUCAACAUGAAGAAGUUUGCCAGCGCCACGCCGGCCCAGUAUGAUCUAACACUGAAGCUCAAACCUCUGUCUGUCAAGGUGGUGGAAGCCACGCUGAAGCUGAACUUGUCUUGUGUCUUUCUCAAAGAGGGCAAGGCCACUGAUGAGGACAUGCAGAGCUUGGCCAGUCUAAUGAGUAUGAAACAGAGUGACAUUGGAAACCUGGAUGACUUUAAUGACAGUGACGAUGAAGGCGGUGAAGAAAGGAGAGCCAGCUUUGGACAAGCUGCUCAUGUUACUGCCUCUGCCUCUUCUAACAUGAGAGUACAUGAUGUGGCUUGGAGGCCUGCAGUUGUAUCAGGCCCCACAGUAACCUCAGAGAUGGGUUGGAAAGCGUCCUCUGGCAUUUUCUCCACCAUCUCGGUCCCAUCUCGUCCUCCUCUGCCUGAACCCCCAGACCUCUCAGUUCCAUCCUCAUUACGCAUCCGACCAGCUAGCACUGGCCAGCCGGCUCGGCCCUCCCCCUAUGCCUACUCAGUGCCAGCCUUUACACGUGCUCACCCUCCUGCACUUCCCAAAAUCUUCCAGCCCACUGCCGGCUCAGUGCCCCUUUCAGCUCCGCGAAGGCCCCAUAGCUUCCACAGUGACUCCUCUCCAGCUGAGGGCUUGGAGGCUUUCCCUACCUUCACCCCUUCUAAAGCCAUCUCCAUCUCUUCCAUCUCCUCUUUACCCUCUGAUUCGCCUCUCCAUACUGUCCCUGUCAAUGAUACCUCACAACCAGCCUGUCUCAGUGCCUGGAGAGCACAGAGCGUUCCUUCCUUUUCUUCUGCGUCCUCUUCCUCCUCAUCUUCAGCUCCUCUCGGCUCCUUCUCUUCCAUGCCCCCACUGCCUCCUGCUUCCAGGCAGCCCAAAGCUCGCCUCACCUCUGUGGGGGAGCCAGGCUCUGCCCUCACCAGGCCCACCAGCCUGCCAUCUGCCCCUGAGACAGCUUCCUGGCAGAGUGAAUGGAGGCCUCCUAAAUCUCAAGCCCCACUAGCACAGCCUGCCCACUCUCCUAGGUUUCUGCAUCUCUCUGAUCCCAGACAGCCUGCAGUCCUGCAGAAAAAGCCCACAGAGACGCCAUCUUUAUUCUCUCUGCCAGUCACUGGUCAGUCUUUGGAGCAGAAGCCCCAGGGAGGGUCUGGAUUUGUUACUUCCUGGAGACCCCAGGUCACCCCUACUGUAGAGAUGCCCUCACCUUCUCCUUUAAAUCCUUCCUCGGCUCUCCCGCUCUUUGGGUCUCCUCCUCCUCCUCCUCAGCCUCAUUUAUCCCAAACUGCCAUAACCUCUAUCAGUGACCAAGAUGCAGAAUUCAAAAGACAGCUGAGCACCCUGAGUGAAGAGGAUAACCAGUGUACAACCGCUACACCAUCUGAUCCCAGAGCGCCGGCCAGCCAGAGACCAACGUCGUCCAGGGCUUCAGAGCAGAUAAGAGAUGCACAUUUUGGAAUCAAGGUUGUUAAGGCAUCGGCAGGACCUGAGAGUAUGGCCUCACUUCUGCCCUUUAGCCGCAGAAUGACCGUAGACCCAGGGCUAAAAUAUUUUGAGAUGCCAAAAACACAGAUGGAUCAAACAGAAUCAAGGCCAACAAGGACAUUCUCUAACAUCCAGCCAACAUUUCCUCCCUUCACUUCUGCACCUACGCAAAACCCUGAUUUUCAAGAUCAAUGCAGAUCUGCUUCAGUCAAGGAGCUUCUGGUUAAGCCAAGAUGUCACAUUUCCACAAUGUCCAUUCAGUUAGGGGAUUUAAUAGCACAACCAGAGCCUGUUCAACAUAUACCUCUUUCUCCUACCAACCCCCAACCUACUUCCAGAUCACUCCAGGGACCUUCAUUGCGCUUGCCGCAAAUGGCUAGAUUUGACACAAAACCGAUAGGAAGGAUAGGAGUGGCCCAUAAAAAAGAAGCUUUAACUAUGGAUUUGGGAAAUGAGAGCGUGGCUUUCUCAGUGUCAUCUUGUGUCAGAGACGCCAAUUCUGCUUUUCCUCCAAUUGUGAUGGAGGAAACACCUGAAGCUCAGUCUGGAGAACAGCCCAUUGCAAAAAACCUACAGUGGGAGAACCUUCAAAAAGACACUCAAAAAAUAAGCCCUGCUGUUCCAAUACCCAUUAUGGAUAAGAAAACCAUAUGCGACAUGACUGCCUCAAACAAAGUCACUUCAAGAUUGGGCUCUGAUUUUCGGUUUCUCUCAGCACAGAAGGCCACAACAGACACUUUAUCAAAGCAAAGAGAAAAAUUUAAAGUGGAUUUUUCAUCGCCUUCCACAAAAUGCUUUGAUGUGCAUAGUUUGGACCCAGAACGUUGUAUGGAGAAAGGCAGUACUGAAAAUGUGGCUUCUGUGGAUGAAAGACUACUGUGUGAAAGAGAUAGGAGAGUUGCACAGGAACUUGUGUUGCCAAGCUCUGCAGUCGAUAUACAAGAAAAGUGCGUCUACACAUCUAAGGUGGAACUUUUUCCAUUGAGUACAACAGGGAUUGCUAUUUCUCAUUCACCGUCCACUUCCCAGCCUAAAGUUCAGAUUGAAGAACCAGUGGGGGUGCCAAGAAUGAUUAAGUCACAAUCAAGCUGCCCACAAUAUUCCAAGAUUCCUGGCAUGCCAUCUUUACAUCAAUCUCAAGUUAUAGCUUGGUUCGAUGAUAGAAGGUUAUUGUUUCAGAAGUUAACCAGCAACAGAUUUCCUUUAGUCCUGUAUUCAGAUUAUGUUGGUUCCAUUUCUGAGGGUAGUGCAGGAAUUGCCAAAAUGGUGGACUUAACACCCUCCUGCUCCAGGUCUGCCAGUAUUCCUGGAUUCCCAUCUGCUUUGAAACGUGAGCCCAAUAUGACUUGUCUUUUACCCACAUGUCCCAGAAUUAGCAGGAUUCCAGGAUUAGCUUCUGCCGGAUCAGUGACUGGAUAUGAAAAGAGUGUUUGGGACAGAUGUUCUCUGUGGAAGAAACCAUUGCAGAUAAAAGAAGCAUUUGCUUCAUACAUGCCUUGUGUUCAGAAAGAAGCUGUUAGUGAUACUAAUAUCAUUAAAGGCAUGGUGGCCAUGUUACCAACAUGUUCUAGAAAGGCCAGUGUUCCAGGGUUUCCUUCUGCACCAUUGCAGAAGGCUUCAAAUACUCUAAGUAUGGCCAGUCUUCUCCCUACAUGCCCCAAACAGACAAUGAUUGAAGGUAUGCCAGGUAGACAAAUAGUUAUGGCAUAUAAUGACAGUUGGCAUGUUUUGAGGAAAUUAAUUUUAGAUAGACCAUUGAGAAGUAAUCCUGUUCUUGUUCAGGAAAAGUCACAUAUAAAAGAACAUAUAAAACAUACGGUAUAUAUGUUACCAUCUUGUCCAUGGAAAGAAACCAUCCCUGGUUUUCCCUCUGUCCCAAGAAAAGAACCCAGUGUACCUGGUUUUUCACUUGCACUAAGCCAAGAUUAUAGCAUGGCAGACCUUGUGCCGACUUGCUCAAGAAAGACAAGAGUCAUUGGUUUACCCUCUAAGGAGCCAGUUAGUGCUCACGGUAGGGGUUUAGAUAUAACCAGGCACAUUUUGAUGGAGAAGCCUUUGAGUAAAGGUGAAGUCUUGAUUUCAGAUAGUUCCGCAGGUGCUGCUCAGGAUCAAGAAAAAAGAGAAAUGUAUAGUUCAGUGGCAAUGUUGCCCUCAUGCCCUGUGAUAACUUGCCUUGAGGGUAUGCCCACAAUAUCCCAGAAGCCAGGUAUUUUAAGUCUUCUACCAAUGUGCCCUAAACAGACCCAAACUCCUGGUAUGCCAUCUCAAGAUCAAAACAAUGCAGAAAACAAAGAUUGGCACGCCCUGGGGCGAUUAAUUACCAGGAGAACAGAAAAGAAAACACAAGCUUACAUUGGUCAGUGGAUACUGAAAGACACAGAAAACCCUAAAGGUAUGGUAGAUAUGUUGAUAAGUUGUCCACAAAAAGCCAAAGUUUUUGGCUUACCCUCUUCUCCUCGACAAGAACCCAGUAUGGUUAAUGUAAUGCCUUCAUGCCCCAUACAUAGUCGAGUCCAUGGUUUGCCUUCAAAGACUAGACAAAAACUUUGUUUGUCCAGCUGCAAUGAAUGGUUUGCUUCUAAAAGCUUACAGUGCAAGAGCCCAUUUAUCAAAAAGGAAGUCCACAUUGUAAAUGCAGUUUUGCGUUUUGAUAAGAACACUGCUGAAAGUAUGAGUGCAAUAUUACCCUCUUGCGCUAAGAAUGCUAGUGUAUCAGGGUUUCCCUCUGCUCUGACACCAACAUUAGCAGAUGGCCCAACUAUGGUGAAUGCAUUGCCUAGUUGUACAAAGGAAUCUAGAGUUCCUGGAAUGCCACUUAGAAACACAAGCAAACAAUUAGCGUGGAUAAUGGAAAGUAAGUCACUGCUAGUCCCUAGGGAGAAGUCUACAGUUACAUUACAUUUACAGAAUCUUAAUGUGUUCUAUUCUGAUUGUGAUAUGAUCAAAAAUAUGGUAUCAAUUUUGCCCUCCUGCCCUAGGACAGCCUGUUUACCAGGCUUUCCAUCAGUACCAUGUCAGGUGUUGGCAGAUAUACCAAGUAUGAUCAAUCUUCUGCCUACUUCUCCAAGACAUUCCAGAGUAUGUGGAAUACCCUCUAGAUUCCCCAGUGAGUCUCAUGAGUCAGAAUGGAGUCUAAACAAAAGGCCAAUAUGGAAAAGGCCAUUAACAAACCCAGGAAAACUUUUAUUAAUACAUGACCAUAAGAUGUAUUUUAGAGAAAAGGCAGUGGCUAAAAUUAUGGUAUCAAUGUUGCCACCUUGUCCAAAACACUCAUAUAUUCCUGGAAUUCCCUCUAAGGCAGGAGAGAGACCAGUGGAAGCUGUGACGAAAGAGGCUCUGAGCAUGUUAAAAUCCUUAGCCACUUUCCCAGAAAACAGUAAAAUUCCAGGUCUACCUGCAAAGUAUAGUGCAAAAGCUUCUGAUGGGUGGUAUGUGGACAGGGAUGAGAUUUGGAAAAACCCAUUCAAUAUAAGGUAUUGUGUUGUUAAGCAUGAUUUUCCAGUUAAGGAAAUGUCAAGUAGGGAGAAAGAAGUAAUGCUGAGUUUGCUUCUAUCAUGUCCACGACAAGCCUUGAACCCUGGAUUUCCUUCUGCUCCACGACCCCAAGCUGUUGAUGUUAGUGUGGGAAAAAAUCCAGACAUGGUACAGAUGCUGCAAUGUUGCCCAAGACAGUCAAGUAUAAUCGGUUUCCCCUCCAGAGUGUCAAUUAUUUCCCAUUCUAAAGUAGGGGGCUGGCCGGUGGUAAAUAUGCAAGACUGCUGCCCAAUUUACCCAAAGUAUAGUUCUUCUCACAAAGAUAUAGCAAUGACAAGUCUUUCUCUUGAACCUUCUUGUCCAAACAUUUCUCUCAGUUCUGGUUUCACAGCAGUUCCACCGCCUGGCAUAGACCGGCUUCCGAAUAUGGUAUAUAUAGUGCCAUCUUGCCCAAAGAAAGCUUCUGUUCUUGGGGUACCAUCAACACAUGUGCACCAUUCAGAACAGGGGUGGCCAGGAACAAAAAUAAUUGGAAAGAAAAGUGAAAACCUUAAAAGUCAACAGCUGUCACUGGAAGAACAUUCUCUUUGUAAUGUUUCUGUCAGAGAGAAAUCCAUGCAGUUCAUAUUCCCAAGCCAAGAUGUACCAGAGGAUCUACAACAAAGUAUGACAAUUGAGUCAUUAACCUGUCCCGCCGAGGCCAUUGUCAAAGAUUUACCAUCGUCAAAUUCUAAAAUCCAAGUGGACCAGCGAUCCUCUGUCGUGAAUGGGAUUGAGAUGUUGUGGGAUGAGGCCAGUCCAACCAGAUUAGAUCUUGACACAAAGAAAACUAAAUCUGAUGUGUGCUCAGCUUUGGAGAGACCUAAAGAUGAACAGGGCUUUUGGAUACCGAUUGAGGCUGAAGAAAUAGCUGUUCUCGAAAAAGGAAACUUGCAUUGCAGAAUGUGGCACUCCAUUCCUGACAUGCCAUUGUUCUUGAGUGUUAGGAAGAGACAUGAAAACAUGGUUUCACUACAGCCAUCAUGCACAAUUGUUGCUGGUACAGAAGAACUUGCAUCCCAAACCCAAAUAAAGAAUGCCGAGCAGCAGUUAAAGAAACAUCCCACAAACAAGACCAUACUAUGGGAGGAGCUUCCAAAGGCCAAUACAAUAAAAUAUCCUACACAAAAGACUGUAAUAUGGGAGGAGCUACCAAAGGUAUCUACAGAGGUAACUAGAAGAUCAGAGGAAGAAAUGGAAAUUGUCAGUCUCCCUUCCAUGAUGUUAGACACUGGUGAUGGAAUAAAGACAAAUACAGAAGCUGGGUUUGCAGAUCUAUUGCCAAUGAGGCCAACAGUUAGCACCCUAUUUGAAUUCACUGCUACUGCUAAACAAAUAGACGAAUGCCUACUGGACAGCAAGUCUACUUGGGAUACUCCUUCAAGGGAUAAUGAAUUAGUGGAUGAAAAGUCUUCCCCACCUUGCGCACAAUGUGUGCCAUAUCAUGUGAAGCCUGAAAUUGAGUAUAAACAGUACACUUUCUUGGAAGCCUGCCCAGGUGUGACAAACAUUGCUGGCAUGCCGUCCAAAUUGCCUGUAAAAAGAAAAACACUGGCUUAUAGAUCAAAAGCCAAUCUGUGAGAAACAAUCAAAAAUUAAGGAAAUAUUACCAACGUAUGCAUCAAAGGAUGAUGAAAAGAACAAGAAGGAAAUGUUUUUUCUGGUACCCUCUUGCCCCAGAGAGGCCAGAAAUCCAGGGUUCCCUUCUCUACCACAAUACAGUUUAAUUUUUUAUGGACCACCAAAUAUGGUGAAUAUGUAUCCCGGCGGUCCAAGUGUAUCCAAUAUACCUGGUUCACCAUCUAUCCAUGAAGCCAAUAACAGAUUAUUGGUAUCUCAACAGGAACCACUUUUGGAGAAGAAAAUAAAAACUGAACUUGUUGUCAUGACAGUGUCACCAAGAGAGAAGGAUGAAAUGAAAAUUGGAGCUUUGGUACCAACUUUCCCAAAACAUUCUUGCAUAGCAGGCAUCCCCUUAAUUCCACAACCUACUGUAGCACUUCAUGGAUCAGAUAUGAUCAGCCUUUUAAGCUCUUGCCCCAAAACCUCUUGUAUUGAAGGUAUUCCAUCAUUAAUGGAACAUUUCAGCAAAAUCUGGGCUACAGAUUACACACCCAUAGGGGUAAAACAGCCAAAAAUCAAAACAGUCAUGAUUGAAGACAGACCUCACAAUGAUGACAUGGGGGCCAUGUCAGCUUUAGCACCAACUUGUCCAAAACGAGCUUGUAUCCCUGGACUUCCAUCUGUUCUGGAACCUACGGUAAUCUAUAAUGCAUUUAGUAGCGUCAAUCUCCUUCCAUCCUGCCCGGCCGCCUCAAGUAUGGCUGGUUUUCCUUCAAUGCAGAAAGCUGAUGGCAAAGACUGGAACACUAUACAUAAACCAUUAUGGGAGAAGGAAAAUAAAAAAGAGCCUGUUUUACUACUGGAGUACGAUAAAAUUGACAAAGACAUGAAAGGAGUUGUGUCUCUUGCACCAAGUUGCCCAAGAGAAUCACUCAUCUCUGGCUGCCCCUCUUUACCAAAAUCCAGAAUAAUUAAUGCUGUUGACAUGACAAAUAUGGUCAGUCUUUCAAGCUCAUGCUCAAAAGUGUCACAAAUACCAGGAUUUCCAUCAUCUCAUAAUUCAAAAGAGUGGACAAAGAGCAGGGAAUCACUAUUUGAACCAAGAUUGAAAGACAAGCAGGUGUCAUCAAUUGACAGAUGUCAAGGAGAUAAGAGAGCAAUGAAAGCAAUGUUUUGUCUUGUACCAUCCUGCCCAAAAGAGGCACGGACGCCAGGAUUUCCUUCUCAUCCAAAUCCCCUAACUGUGUACAGUGCACAGAAUAUUAUCAGCCUUUUUACAUUGUGCUCACAAGUUUCCAAAAUUCCUGGAUUCCCAUCAGUUGAUGGGAAUAUGAGUGUAGGAUGGGUAACAGAAAAGGGUUCAUUGCUGAAGAGACUACCGAAGAAGACGGUCAUAUUUGACACAUCAAAUGACAACAAAAAGAUAAUGAAGAAUAUGGUUUCAUGUGUACCAUCCUGUCCUAAAGUGUCAAGCAUCCCUGGUUUCCCAUCUAUUCCGAAUCCCAAAAUCGUGUAUUAUGGCCAAAAUGUAGUCAACCUCCUUCCUUUGUGCCCCCUAGUUUCUAUCAUACCUGGAUUUCCAUCAGUUGAAGGGCACAGGGAAGAGGGAUGGGGUACUGAACUGGUUUCACUGGUGCACAGACCACAAAAGAACAAUCAGUUUAGGAUUAACAGCUCACCAGUUAACAUAGACAAACAAAGCAAUAUGCUUGCUUUAGUUCCUUCUUGCCCAGGAGCAUCAAAGAUUUCAGGCUUCCCAUCUGUCCCGCAAUACAAUAUGCUAAGGAUUGUACCUAUUUGCCCCAAAGUAUCCAGUCUUCCUGGAUUUGCAUCGUUUGAAGGGGCCUCAAAAUUCCAAUGGCUUUUUAAAACACCCACUUUGUGUGAUAAGCCACUAAAGGAAACUGUUUUUGUGAUACACCUUUCAAAUCAAGACAAAGGAACUGCAAAGAAAAUGUUUGCUUUAGCGCCAUCUUGCCCAGAAGCAUCCAGGGUCCCAGGGUUCCCCUCUGCAUCUCAAACCAAAUCAGAGAGUGAACCCAAUAUCAUACGUUUUGUACCUUGCUGCUCUAGCGCUUCAAAUCUCCAAGGGUUUGCAUCCAUGACUACAAUUACAAGCACAGGGUGGAUAAAUGAAACAAAACCAAUUUUAAUAAAGCCUCAGGAGAACAGGGCACACAUGAUUUUGUCACUUGCUGGACAGGACCAGCUAUAUUGCUACAACACCAAAGGCAUGGUGACAUUAGUGACAUCCUGCCCAAAAGAGGCCAGAGUAUGUGGUUUUCCUUCUGCUCAAAUUGUAAACAGACCGCCAAACAUGGUCAGCUUAUACACAUCUGCUCCAUGUGUUUCAUGUGUCCCAGGUUUUCCAUCAGCAAGGAUGCUUAGCUCUGAAUGUACAAAUAUACAAACUAGGACAACACAUAAGUCCCUGUUAGAGAAGCUGCAGGAUGAGAAGAUUUGUGUCAUAGCAAAGUUCCCAGCCAAAGAUAAACAUGAUCAAGAUGAAAUGAAGUACAUGGUAGCAUUGGCUCCAUCAUGUCCACAUUUGACUCAAAUCCCUGGGCUCCCCAGCAUUUUACAAUUGAAUCCAACCGAGAAUGAAACAAUGACUAUUCCAGACCCUUGUUCUACUGAGAAGCAUACAUCACAAGAAUUGCCUCAUACGCAGUCAAUUCAGUCAUAUCUCAAAGACCCAAGAAUGUCUGGUGUCCCCUCCACAUCUAUUUGCCUCACCAGCACAGCACUUGCAUAUGAGGAGGAAUUC